UACGAAGGGGGCUAGCGUUGCUCGGAAUCACUGGGCGUAAAGGGUGCGUAGGCGGGUCUUAAGUCGGGGGUGAAAUCCUGGGGGCUCAACCUCAGAAUUGCCUCCGAUACUGGCAGUCUCGAGUGCGGGAGAGGUGAGUGGAAUUCCCAGUGUAGAGGUGAAAUCGUUAGAUAUUGGGAAGAACACCAGUGGCGAAGGCGGCUCACUGGCCCGUAACUGACGCUGAGGUGGCGAAAAGCGUGG
rnacentral:rRNA from 1 species